rnacentral:sRNA from 1 species
CACAUCUAUUUGGCAUGAACAGCAUACCUAGGGCUAUGCAGUGGGUUGGGGAUAGAUCUGGGGUUAUUUCUGAGGGGGCCUCUGAGGUCAUAGGGAUGAUGGCUCAGGUUUAUUAAGCACUUUCUAUUUACCUACUACCGUGUAGUGUGGUGAUCUGGUGGGUUUCUGACAGCAGCCCUUGGUUCCUAGUCCUUACCUUUGCUUACUGUGGGCCUGGUGUUGGCCUUGCCAGCCUUCCAAUGGUAACUCCAGCUGCCUGAUUGUGAAGGUAAAUGACAUUAUCAAGCACUUAUUGUAUAUCCACUGCUUCCCAUUCAGUAUCCCAAUAUCCCUAAAAGGUAAGGACUUAUCAAUCCAUCGCACACACACUUGCCUAGCAACCCUUCGUGCCUGCCCACACUCUGGAGUCCCACAUGCCAUUCUUGUCAGCUCAUGCCAGGAUGGGAUGUGUGUGCUCUUCUCCACAGGUCCCCACGAUGGUCCCUGUGGUCCACAUGGGCCCCCUGUUCGGUGACGUGCUCUGAGGGCUCCCAGCUGCGGUACCGGCGCUGUGUGGGCUGGAACGGGCAGUGCUCUGAGAAGGUGGCACUUGGAACCCUGGAGUGGCAGCUCCAGGCCUGUGAGGACCAGCAGUGCUGUCCCGAGAUGGGCGGCUGGUCUGGCUGGGGGCCCUGGGAGCCUUGCUCUGUCACCUGCUCCAAAGGGACCCGGACCCGCAGGCGAGCCUGUAAUCACCCUGCUCCCAAGUGUGGGGGCCACUGCCCAGGACAGGCACAGGAAUCAGAGGCCUGUGACACCCAGCAGUCCUGCCCCACACACGGGGCCUGGGCCGCCUGGGGCCCCUGGACCCCCUGCUCAGGCUCCUGCCACAGUGGAACCCACGAACCUAAGGAGACACGAAGCCGCAAGUGUUCUGCACCUGAGCCCUCCCAGAAGCCUCCUGGGAAGCCCUGCCCGGGGCUAGCCUACGAGCAGCGGAGGUGCACCGGCCUCCCACCCUGCCCAGUGGCUGGGAGCUGGGGGCCUUGGGGCCCUGUGAGCCCCUGCCCUGUGACCUGUGGCCUGGGCCAGACCAUGGAACAACGGACGUGCGAUCACCCUGUGCCCCAGCAUGGGGGCCCCUUCUGUGCUGGCGAUGCUACCCGGACCCACAUCUGCAACACAGCUGUGCCCUGCCCUGUGGAUGGAGAGUGGGACUCGUGGGGGGAGUGGAGCACCUGUGUCCGACGGAACAUGAAGUCCAUCAGCUGUCAAGAAAUCCCGGGCCAGCAGUCACGCUGGAGGACCUGCAAGGGCCGCAAGUUUGACGGACAUCGAUGUGCCGGGCAACAGCAGGAUAUCCGGCACUGCUACAGCAUCCAGCACUGCCCCUUGAAAGGAUCAUGGUCAGAGUGGAGUACCUGGGGGCUGUGCAUACCCCCCUGUGGACCUAAUCCUACCCGUGCCCGCCAGCGCCUCUGCACACCCUUGCUCCCCAAGUACCCGCCCACUGUUUCCAUGGUCGAAGGUCAGGGCGAGAAGAACGUGACCUUCUGGGGGAGACCGCUGCCACGGUGUGAGGAGCUACAAGGGCAGAAGCUGGUGGUGGAGGAGAAGCGACCAUGUCUACACGUGCCUGCUUGCAAAGACCCUGAGGAAGAGAAACUCUAACACUUCUCUCCUCCACUCUGAGCCCCCUGACCUUCCAAACCUCAAUAAACUAGCCUCUUCGAGCUCGUCUACGAUUCCUUAAAGGAGGAAAAACAACCUAUCCCCUUCCCCAAAAGUAGGGUGAUAGCAUCUCAUAGGGCAAAAGGCACAGCACGGGCCAAGACACAGCAGCCUGUUGCGGAAAACAGUAUUUUCCACUGUGGUCGCAGGUUGGCAGGAGUGAAAGCGAGUGUGCAGCCCCAGCCGCUCCCCGCCGCUGCCAUAACCCCAAUGUCUGGACCCUGCGCAGCCCCCUUAGUGCCUCAGGGCCGCCCGGCACGUUCCUCUGCAGAGCUCCUCGUUACGGGUUUCCUGAUUGGCUACUUGUCCUGGCAGGCACUUCUUGAUUGGCCGGCGUGCUUGUUCGUUGUCUCCCCGCCUCCUGGACCUCCCUAGAUUUCCACCAGCCGGAACCUUGGAGGAGCCUCUGCCGGCCGACUCCGACACCGCGUCAGUCGAGGAUGAACGGCAGAGGCGUGGCCGAGGCUGGCACCCUGCCCCCGAGCACCUGCACCCACCCACUCCCGACAGCCCAGCUCCAAUGCCACAAUUACCAGCGACAAAUAGCUCGGCGAGGCGGGGGGCGGGCCGAGGAAGUGCCUGUGUUGCGCUCUGAGCUGAGGCGGGGGCAAAGAAGCUAGAGUCAGUAUCUGCCCGGAGGAGCCCCCAAGACAAAUCCAGACACUUUCCUCUGGUAUUUGUUCAUUCAUUCAACACUUAUUAGCGCCUGCUGUAUACUAAAGCUAAGUCUGAGCAUCUAGGGUGGAGGAGGGCUGGUAGAAAGAGGACAUCUGAGCGAGGGAACAGACUCAGAAGGUAUUCCUUUCGUGUGAACAUCUAUUCAACACUUAACGCCUACUGUAUACUAACAAUAGUGCUGGACAUCACGGAGAAUAGAGAAGAAGAGGAAUCAGAGCGUUACGUGUCUCCGCAGUAAAGGGAACAAAGCCAGACACCAGUGCUUUUAGCAUUUGCUCAUUCAUUUACCACUUACUGAAUGCCGGGCCCCUUGUGAAGAGACGCAUCAUAAGAAUCAUAAUAAUCAUGGUAAUAGCUACUACUU